rnacentral:rRNA from 2 species
AGACCCGAAACCCGGUGAUCUAGCCAUGGGCAGGUUGAAGGUUGGGUAACACUAACUGGAGGACCGAACCGACUAAUGUUGAAAAAUUAGCGGAUGACCUGUGGCUGGGGGUGAAAGGCCAAUCAAACCGGGAGAUAGCUGGUUCUCCCCGAAAGCUAUUUAGGUAGCGCCUCGUGAAUUCAUCUCCGGGGGUAGAGCACUGUUUCGGCUAGGGGGCCAUCCCGGCUUACCAACCCGAUGCAAACUGCGAAUACCGGAGAAUGUUAUCACGGGAGACACACGGCGGGUGCUAACGUCCGUCGUGAAGAGGGAAACAACCCAGACCGCCAGCUAAGGUCCCAAAGUCAUGGUUAAGUGGGAAACGAUGUGGGAAGGCCCAGACAGCCAGGAUGUUGGCUUAGAAGCAGCCAUCAUUUAAAGAAAGCGUAAUAGCUCACUGGUCGAGUCGGCCUGCGCGGAAGAUGUAACGGGGCUAAACCAUGCACCGAAGCUGCGGCAGCGACACUGUGUGUUGUUGGGUAGGGGAGCGUUCUGUAAGCCUGUGAAGGUGUGUCGUGAGGCAUGCUGGAGGUAUCAGAAGUGCGAAUGCUGACAUAAGUAACGAUAAAGCGGGUGAAAAGCCCGCUCGCCGGAAGACCAAGGGUUCCUGUCCAACGUUAAUCGGGGCAGGGUGAGUCGACCCCUAAGGCGAGGCCGAAAGGCGUAGUCGAUGGGAAACGGGUUAAUAUUCCCGUACUUGGUGUUACUGCGAAGGGGGGACGGAGAAGGCUAUGUUGGCCGGGCGACGGUUGUCCCGGUUUAAGUGUGUAGGUGUGUGUUCCAGGUAAAUCCGGUUCACUUUAACACUGAGGCGUGA